GAUGGGCUUUCUCUCGCUUUUGGCAUAGUAGGCCUCCCCGUGAUCUAUUGAUUCUGUCCCAAUUGGUUGGAUCGUAG
rnacentral:tRNA from 1 species